rnacentral:rRNA from 1 species
CACCAGCCCCUCGAGUGGUGGGGAUGAUAAUUUGGCCUAAAGCGUCCGUAGCCGGCCGGGUAAGUUUCCCGUUAAAUCCAGCGUCUCAAGCGUUGGACUGCGGGAAAUACUGCCUGGCUAGAGAGUGGGAGAGGUGUACGGUAUUCUGGGGGUAGGGGCGAAAUCCUUUGAUCCCCGGAGGACCACCAGUGGCGAAGGCUGUACACUAGAACACGUCUGACGGUCAGGGACGAAAGCUGGGGUAGCGAACCGGAUUAGAUACCCGGGUAGUCCCAGCUGUAAACGAUGCAUGCUAGGUGUUGGGUUGGCCACGAGCCACCCCAGUGCCGCAGGGAAGCCGUUAAGCAUGCCGCCUGGGAAGUACGAUCGCAAGAUUGAAACUUAAAGGAAUUGGCGGGGGAGCACCACCAGGCGUGAAGCCUGCGGUUU